GUUUUAAAAAUUAACUCAAGAAAAACCAUAGAUUCCCUUUUUUAAUUUUAACCUAAUAGAAAGUGACUUUAUGUCCUUUCUCAAUCUACUCAUGAAAUCAUGCCUUAUAUGUUAGUCAUCCUAUGAAAAAGUUUCAAAUUUCUACUCCCAUUUUAAGCCAUAAAGCCCAAGGUUUUUGUCUUAAAGAACUUGCUAGAAUCCAACUGCUAAGCUUAUAAGCCUACAUUUUCUUUCCAAGUAAAAG
rnacentral:lncRNA from 1 species